rnacentral:tRNA from 1 species
GCCUUUGUGGCCUAAUGGAUAACACGCCGGCCUCCUAAGCCGGGGAUCACGGGUUAGAUUUCCGCUAGAGGUA